CACAGAAGCGUCCUCUGAACAAGAAGCGAUUAUGUUGUCAUGAAAAGGAUUCCAUUUGAUGUCCAGCACAUUGCCUUGGUGACCACAGACCUUCGGAUAGUGAGGGUCGAUACGGCCAAACUACAAGAGAGAAGUAUAGUUUCCAUUCAACAACUGAAGCUCCUUUGUCAUAAGAGGAAUUCCAUCUGAAAAGCCAAUGUUCUGCAACUAUAUCGCUCCCAUGUGUCUGGCUUUCAAGCAUGAUAAUUGCUUAUUCUUAAUCAGACAGUUGUAUCUGUAAUAUAGACUAAUGUCUUGGGUUGAAUAAACACAUUAGAAAGAUUUAAUAAACUACAUACAUUUGCAAACACAAAAUUGCAUUAAAUUGCCAAACU